rnacentral:rRNA from 1 species
CGGAGGAUGCAAGCGUUAUCCGGAUUCAUUGGGUUUAAAGGGUGCGUAGGCGGACUAUUAAGUCAGUGGUGAAAGCCUGCAGCUUAACUGCAGAACUGCCAUUGAUACUGAUAGUCUUGAGUUUGGUUAAGGUAAGCGGAAUGUGUAAUGUAGCGGUGAAAUGCUUAGAUAUUACACAGAACACCAAUUGCGUAGGCAGCUUACUGAGCCGACACUGACGCUGAGGCACGAAAGCGUGGGGAUCGAACA